GCCCCAAGUGACAGUUACCCAAUGCUGUGGCACUGACCUCUGCAAUGCAGCAGAUGGCGUGUAUAAGGGGAGCUUCCUCCUUCUGUUGUCUCCUCUGCUCUUCUACUUCCUGUUUCAGUGAAUCCAGCUGCACUUCAGAUUCAACAGCUGCAACACAAACUGAACAACGCACAUUUCUUGUCAUACUCUUCAGAAUAAAGUAUACUUGUAAUUCUACUGUUCUUUAGCAUUAUGGUAUGGGGGAUGAAAAUAUGUGUUUUUACUAAACAUAUUAAACAAAAUAGUGCAUCAACUAGUGUAACAGAUAAUUA